rnacentral:rRNA from 1 species
UGGGGAAUAUUGCACAAUGGGCGAAAGCCUGAUGCAGCAACGCCGCGUGAGUGAUGAAGGCCUUCGGGUUGUAAAGCUCUGUCUUUUGGGACGAUAAUGACGGUACCAAAGGAGGAAGCCACGGCUAACUACGUGCCAGCAGCCGCGGUAAUACGUGGGUGGCAAGCGUUGUCCGGAUUUACUGGGCGUAAAGGAUGCGUAGGCGGAUUUUUAAGUGAGAUGUGAAAUACCCGGGCUUAACUUGGGUGCUGCAUUUCAAACUGGGAAUCUAGAGUGCGGGAGAGGAGAAUGGAAUUCCUAGUGUAGCGGUGAAAUGCGUAGAGAUUAGGAAGAACACCAGUGGCGAAGGCGAUUCUCUGGACCGUAACUGACGCUGAGGCAUGAAAGCGUGGGUAGCAAACAGGAUUAGAUACCCUGGUAGUCCACGCCGUAAACGAUGAGUACUAGGUGUAGGAGGUAUCGACCCCUUCUGUGCCGCAGUUAACACAAUAAGUACUCCGCCUGGGAAGUACGAUCGCAAGAUUAAAACUCAAAGGAAUUGACGGGGUCAAUAGCUGUUUCCU